rnacentral:rRNA from 1 species
CCUACGGGAGGCAGCAGUGGGGAAUAUUGCACAAUGGGGGAAACCCUGAUGCAGCGACGCCGCGUGAGUGAAGAAGGAAUUCGUUAUGUAACGCUCUAUCAGCAGGGAAGAAAAUGACGGUACCUGAGUAAGAAGCCCCAGCUAACGACGUGACAGCAGCCGCGGUAAUACGUAGGGGGCAAGCGUUAUUCGGAUUUACUGGGGGGAAAGGGAGCGUAGACGGCAGUGCAAGGCCGGCGUGAAGGGCGCGGGCUCAACCCCCGGACUGCACUUGAAACUGGACGGCUGGAGUGCAGGAGAGGUAAGCGGAAUUCCUGGUGUAGCGGUGAAAUGCGUAGAUAUCAGGAGGAACACCAGUGGCGAAGGCGGCUUACUGGACUGUAACUGACGCUGAGGCUCGAAAGCGUGGGGAGCAAACAGGAUUAGAGACCCCAGUAGUC